GCACCUUCAUGGACCUGGAGUAGAGUGGGUGUGGCGGGGGGAGCAGGGCCCAGGGCAACCUCUCCCUCCGUGUGCCCAGAUCCUGCAUGCCAA
rnacentral:pre_miRNA from 1 species